GACGAACGCUGGCGGCGUGCUUAACACAUGCAAGUCGAACGGAAAGGCCCGGCGUUUGUGGGGUGCUCGAUUGGCGAACGGGUGAGUAACACGUGAGUAACCUGCCCUUGACUUUGGGAUAACUUCAGGAAACUGGGGCUAAUACCGGGUAGGAGCUCCUGCUGCAUGGGGGGGGUUGGAAAGUUUCGGCGGUUGGGGAUGGAUUCGCGGCUUAUCAGCUUGUUUGUGGGGUAGUGGCGUACCAGGGCUUUGACGGGUAGCCGGCCUGAGAGGGUGACCGGCGACAUUGGGACUGAGAUACGGCCCAGACUCCUACGGGAGGCAGCAGUGGGGAAUAUUGCACAGUGGGCGGAAGCCUGAUGCAGCAACGUCGCGUGCGGGAUGCCGGCCUUCGGGUUGUAAACCGCUUUCGCCUGUGACGAAGCGUGAGUGACGGUACUGGGUAAAGAAGCACCGGCUAACUACGUG
rnacentral:rRNA from 1 species